CGGGGCUGCCCCCUCCCCUGGGCCCGGGGCUGCUGGAGCUGCAGCAGCGCUGCUGGGGGGGCUGGGACCUGUGGGCAGAGGUGACACACCUGAGGGACAGGUUCGCCCUGGACUGGCAGCCCGAGCUGGGGCUCCUGCAGGUCCUGGGGGGCCCCCGGGGGGCUCAGACCCUCUGGACUCUGGAGCUGGAGCCGGGGUACCCCAAAAACGGGGGGGUGAGGCUGCGACCCCCCCCCGAGGGGGCUCCCCCCGUCCCUGCACCCCCAGACCCCCCCACCCUGACCCAG